rnacentral:rRNA from 1 species
GACGUAGGGCGCGAGCGUUGUCCGGAUUUAUUGGGCGUAAAGAGCGUGUAGGCGGCUGGAUAGGUCCGUUGUGAAAACUCGAGGCUCAACCUCGAGACGCCGAUGGAAACCAUCCAGCUAGAGUCCGGAAGAGGAGAGUGGAAUUCCCGGUGUAGCGGUGAAAUGCGCAGAUAUCGGGAAGAACACCCGUGGCUAAGGCGGCUCUCUAGUACGGUACUGACGCUGAGACGCGAAAGCGUGGGGAGCGAACAGG